AUGUGUCAGCAAUCAAACAUCGAAACACAGAGUCAGGUUCCAUUACAGAGGAGAAACGUGGGAAACUUGGAGUGGCCUGGACCAGCUCAGUCUUCAGUACAUCGCUCCAGGUGUGUGCUGAGGUCUCCACUUCCAACUGGCACCUGGUGGGAAGACUUUCCAGAGUGGCUGGAAAAAGCCAGGGGACCCAAAACCCCACAAGCAGAAGCAAAGGGAGCUUUGCAGAGGGCCCAGGGGGACCCCUGGCCGAUGAGGUGGUGUCUGCAGCGCCCCAUGGGAAAGCGAAGUUCGGGAUGCUUGUCCUCUCCCUGGGAGCUGUCGUCUCUGGGAUGUCACAAUCCAUGUGAGCUUCUCCACCUGCGAUUUGGUGGGAAAGUCAGACUCACGGAGGGAGAUCCGUGACACUGCCACGUUCUCCAGUCUAGCUGGUUACCUCUCUACACAUAAUCCUAAAUAAUCUAUUCCUCCGCUGGAAUGCAAGAAGAACCAACCGAGAUGACUCUUUUGUCACGACACUGACCCUCAGAUGAUUAUUAUAACUGCCUCUGUAAGUGCUGUUAUCCGUUGCUCACGGCUGUUAUUGGGAUCAGUAGUACAACCACCACU
rnacentral:lncRNA from 1 species